CCUACGGGAGGCAGCAGUGGGGAAUAUUGGGCAAUGGGCGCAAGCCUGACCCAGCAACGCCGCGUGAAGGAAGAAGGCUUUCGGGUUGUAAACUUCUUUUCUCAGGGACGAAGCAAGUGACGGUACCUGAGGAAUAAGCCACGGCUAACUACGUGCCAGCAGCCGCGGUAAUACGUAGGUGGCAAGCGUUAUCCGGAUUUACUGGGUGUAAAGGGCGUGUAGGCGGGACUGCAAGUCAGAUGUGAAAACCACGGGCUCAACCUGUGGCCUGCAUUUGAAACUGGCAAACUGGAGUGUGUGAGAGGAUAGUGGAAUUCCAGGUGUAGGAGUGAAAUCCGUAGAUAUCUGGAGGAACAUCAGUGGCGAAGGCGACUAUCUGGCACAUAACUGACGCUGAGGAGCGAAAGCGUGGGUAGCAAACAGGAUUAGAUACCCUUGUAGUC
rnacentral:rRNA from 1 species